CCUACGGGGAGCAGCAGUGAGGAAUAUUGGUCAAUGGGCGCAAGCCUGACCCAGCAACGCCGCGUGAAGGAAGAAGGCUUUCGGGUUGUAAACUUCUUUUGUCAGGGAAGAGUAGAAGACGGUACCUGACGAAUAAGCCACGGCUAACUACGUGCCAGCAGCCGCGGUAAUACGUAGGUGGCAAGCGUUGUCCGGAUUUACUGGGUGUAAAGGGCGUGUAGCCGGGUUGACAAGUCAGAUGUGAAAUCCUGCGGCUUAACCGCAGAACUGCAUUUGAAACUGUUGAUCUUGAGUACUGGAGAGGCAGACGGAAUUCCUAGUGUAGCGGUGAAAUGCGUAGAUAUUAGGAGGAACACCAGUGGCGAAGGCGGUCUGCUGGACAGCAACUGACGGUGAGGCGCGAAAGCGUGGGGAGCAAACAGGAUUAGAUACCCUAGUAGUC
rnacentral:rRNA from 1 species